UUGCGGUAAAAAAGCUCGUAGUUGGAUUUCUGUUGAGGACGACCGGUCCGUACCAUGUACGCGACAUCUGGUUCGGCCUCGGCAUCCUCUCGAUAGACGUUUCUGCGCUUGAUUGCGUGGAGCGGAUUUCGGGACUUUUACUUUGAGGAAAUUAGAGUGUUCACGGCAGGCUAUCGCCAGAAUACAUUAGCAUGGAAUAAUACUAUAGGAUCUCGGUUCUAUUUUGUUGGUUUCUAGACCCGGGGUAAUGAUUAAUAGGGACAAUUGGGGGCAUUUGUAUCAACACGUCAGAGGUGGAAUUCUUGGAUUGUGUUGCGACAAACUACUGCGAAAGCAUUUGCCAAGGAUGUUUUCAUUGAUCAAGAACGAAAGUAAGGGGAUCGAAGACGAUUAGAUA
rnacentral:rRNA from 1 species